GACGAACGCUGGCGGCGUGCCUAAUACAUGCAAGUAGGACGCAGUUGCGAACGGGCGAGGAACGCGCAGGUAACUGCCUAUUAGAGGGGGAUAACUAUUGGAAACGAUAGCUAAUACCGCAUACUAGUAGAUGGAUCUGCGUUGUAUUAGCUAGUAGGUAGGGUAAUGGCCUACCUAGGCGACGAUACAUAGCCGACCCGGGUGGGUGAUCCGCCACGCUGGGACUGUGACACGGCCCAAGCUCCUUCGGGGAGCAGCAGUAGGGAAUCUUCCGCCAUGGGGGGAACCCUGACCGAGGCACGCCGCGUGGGUGAAGGAGGGUUUCGGAUCGUAAAACUCUGUUGUUAAGGGAGCGGUACUUAACCAGAAAGGGACGGCUAACUACGUGCCAGCAGCCGCGGUAAUUC
rnacentral:rRNA from 1 species